rnacentral:rRNA from 1 species
UAGUCCACGCUGUAAACGAUGAGCACUAACUUUUGGGGGUAUUGACUCCCUCAGAGGUACAGCAAACGCGUUAAGUGCUCCGCCUGGGGAGUACGGUCGCAAGACUAAAACUCAAAGGAAUUGACGGGGGCCCGCACAAGCGGUGGAUUAUGUGGUUUAAUUCGAAGCAACGCGCAAAACCUUACCUGGGCUUGAAAUCCGGAGAAUUUUGCAGAGAUGCAGAAGUGCCCUUCGGGGAAUUCCGUGACAGGCGCUGCAUGGCUGUCGUCAGCUCGUGUUGUGAAAUGUUGGGUUAAGUCUCGCAACGAGCGCAACCCCUGUGGUUAGUUGCCAGCAUUAAGUUGGGCACUCUAGCCAGACUGCCUGGGUUAACCAGGAGGAAGGUGGGGAUGACGUCAAGUCCUCAUGGCCCUUAUGUCCAGGGCUACACACGUAAUACAAUGGUAGGUACAAAGAGCAGCGAACUCGCGAGAGGAAGCGAAUCUCAAAAAGCCUAUCUCAGUCCGGAUUGG